rnacentral:rRNA from 1 species
CCUACGGGGGGCAGCAGUAGGGAAUCUUGCGCAAUGGGCGAAAGCCUGACGCAGCGACGCCGCGUGGAGGAUGAAGGCUUUCGGGUCGUAAACUCCUGUCCUCAGGGACGAUAAUGACGGUACCUGAGGAGGAAGCCCCGGCUAACUACGUGCCAGCAGCCGCGGUAAAACGUAGGGGGCAAGCGUUGUCCGGAAUUACUGGGCGUAAAGGGUGCGUAGGCGGUCUGUUAAGUCCUGUGUGAAAGGCCCCGGCUCAACCGGGGAUGGCCAUGGGAAACUGGCGGACUUGAGUGCCGGAGAGGAUCGCGGAAUUCCCGGAGUAGCGGUGAAAUGCGUAGAUAUCGGGAGGAACACCAGUGGCGAAGGCGGCGAUCUGGACGGACACUGACGCUGAGGCACGAAAGCUGGGGGAGCAAACAGGAUUAGAUACCCUAGUAGU